rnacentral:lncRNA from 1 species
AAAUGGAGAACAGCUGCUCACGCUCGUCGUCUGACAUCAGCUAUUUCUCAGGAUGACCCUGCGAGACAGGCCAGGGUCAUUAGACCCAAUUUGGUUCUCAGCAAAUAUGUGUUUAUUCCUGCAUGCGUGGGCCACAGGCUGGUUUCUUGGGUGCAAUGAAUAGCUGCAGGUUUAUUAGGGUGUCUUUUUAGAUGGAUGUAUGUUUCCCGAUGUCUAUAGAACACUCCGGACCCCGGAGAGUGAAGACUCUGCCUGUCGGACUUGCUUUGAGAAGAUCCUUCUCCACCUCCCCAUGGCAGAAGUUGCUUCACAGAGGGGAACAGUUUUAUGGAUGUGGCUGAGACCUUAAACUUGAGGCAACCCAUCUGAGGUGGCAUCCAGAGGAGACUGGCUGGCCCCUCCUUCACCUUGGAUGUAGUGCUGUUUCUAGGAUCUCUUUUCAAUCAGCAAAACAGGGGAUGUUCCAAGAGGGUGUGGAUUCCCUGCCAUCCCACAUGGUCAAGUGGAGGGGACGGGAAAAAGCUAUGAAGGGUUUGUGACCACACAGACUCUCCUGGCCCCCUGUCCUUUUGGAAAGAAGACAGGGAUGAAAUAUAAUCAAGCAAUUAACCACCCCCAUCAUCACCAAGAACAACAGUAUCAACAAGAAGAACAGGGACAACAAAACCCACGGAUGAAACAUUCCUUUCUCAGCUCAGAUCUUAUCUGGUGCGUUCUCUCUCUGCUCUGUCUUGGUGUGUGGUUUAGAGAAACAUGGACAACGCUGUUUGGAAGAACAGAACUUGCCCUCUGCUGAAGGUGCUGCCUCACCAUGAGGUUAUACUCCUACCUCAGGGAUCACAAGGUGGCUCCCUGAACAGCUCCUUGCUGCCAUUUUGUGAUGACACCAUCUUUAACACCUGGCUUCUGAAGUCUCAUGGAGAGGUCUCUAUCCAGGGAGUACAUUGGAUACUUUCGCGGUCUCUGUGGACGGGGAGACAGCACACUGGAGACUAACACCAUGUUGGCCUGGACAUGAUGCAUGACCCUUACGCCCAUGUUCCAUUGUCUGUUCCAGGGAAACAGCUGGAUUCAGACUGAACUGGCAGACACUGCACGUGUUCUACAGAGAAGAAAGAGGAUGAUGGUAAAGCAGACUGCAGUCUUCAGGCCUGGAGCAGAGAAGGGAGAGUUCCUGCUCUAGAGAAAAGAUUUUGCCACGUUGGCUAGGCUGCUCUGGAACUCUUGACCUCAGGUGAUCUGCCUGCCACCCAACCUACUGGGAUUACAGUAGCCAGUCCUGCCAGGGUUCUGGCUGUGCCGGGACAGUGAAUGGCCACUCCGUCCCAGAUGAGCUGCAGGAAGCGUUUCGAUGUCAUGUGGAGGUGAUGGCGAUUUUCAACUCAUUCCCGUUACAAACAGCCGACCUUCCUACCGAGUUCAAGUACCUUCUGCCUGGCCUGGAAGAACAAUAUCUCUCUGUCUCCCUCUUCCACUGGCCCUCACCUGCCUUCCCCUGAACAUGCAUUUUGCCUGACAGGAGACAGAGGCAGUUGAGAUGGAGUCUUGCUAUAUGGCCCAGCUGGUAAUGCCUAGAUUCUUGAGUCCCUCCCUGGCUCAUCCCUGGGAGCAGCACUGAACCCCUUGUCUGACACCUGUCUGGAAAUGGAGCCUGCACAUUGACCCUAGAUGCUUGCAGCUUGGUCCAGGAGGCCAGCAGGACCAGAGAGAAGACCACAGCGACACAUGGGGAUGGCUGUCCCACAGGCAGAAAUGAGCAGCCGGGAGGAAGCCCAGGCAGCCAGCCACCCAGCUCCCUCCACAUCGUGGCCCUAGAACGGAGUCUUGAAGAAUAAGAAGCCACAGCUUGUCAGGGAAUCAGGCUGGAAAAAUGUUAUGAGACUGAGUAAGACCAGAGAUUCCUCAGCAGUGCCUGGAGAAGACCAGGAGAGGAAGCAGAAGACCCUCCUCAAAGAAGCAGCCUUCACCUCCAGACCUCCCAGCGGGACUUAGACAAUGGGGUUAGGCAGUCACAUGUCUGCACGUGGAAACUUUCUGGGACUGUGCUUGGAUCCUGGCUCUGCCUUUUACUAGCCAUGUGACCUUGGGAAAAUCACUUGACUUCUCCGUGCAGGAUUCCUCAUCUGUAAAAAUGGUCUAAGAUUAGGAGCCACCUCAAGGUUGUUGUAGGAAUUAAAUUAAUUCAUGUUUAUAAAGUGCUUUGAACAGCGUUUGGCACAUGGAGAAUUAAAUGAGCAAACGGAAGAGCAGCAACCCUGAGUUACAUUUCUCAAGACACCGGGGCUCUUGAUGGCACAGCAGCAGCUUGCUAGAGCUUGGUAAAGAGACUUGGGCCUGGUACCUGAAGGGCAAUUCCUUGGCCAUGACAUUGUAGGGAAAGACCUCUAUGGGUGUUGAAAAGACAAGGCGAGGACAAGAAGAGUUGAAAAGGAGCUGUUCUGAAGCCACCUGGCUGUGGAUGGAGGAAGCCACAUGUAGCUUAGGUAGCCUGCUAUUGUAAUUUUUUCUGCAACUGAAGAAUUCGAAAUGGGUUUGGUGGGUAGCGAAGGGCAGAAUCUGGCUUCAAGGUGACAGAGUUUGCAUAGAGAUGGCCUUCUUGAGCAAAGGUAGUGACUCCUACAUUUUUUUUUUUUGUAGAGUUGUGAUACCCAUGAGUUAGUCAGCUUGGGCUAUCAUAACAAAAUACCACACAUUGGUUGGCUUAAACAACAGAAAUUCAUUUUCCUGUAAUUCUGGAGGCUGGAAGUCCAAGAUCAAGGUGACGACAGAGUUGGGUUUCCUCUGAAGCCUCUCUCCUUGGUUUUCAGAUGGGUGUCCUCUUGCUGUCUCUUCAUGUGACUGUCCCUCUGCAUGUGUGCCCCUGGGGACUCUUUCUUAUCUUAUAGUGACACUAGUUCUAUUGGAUUGAAGUGUACCCAUACGACCUCAUUUAAACUUAAUUACAUAUUGUAAGGCCCUAACUUCAAAUACAGUCACAUCCUGAGGUACUGUGUAUUAGGGCUUCAACAUAUAAAUUUUGGGGCAAUCCAGUUCAGCCCAUAAAAUCCCUUUUUGGUUGCUUGAUUCUGUUUAUUUGGUGUCAUGCCUUCCUUUUCCUAAAGAACUUCAUGAAUAGAAUUACUUUCUAAGUGAAAGGAACAAAACUGAUUUUUAUUAAAAAUUAUUUUGAGAUGCUUGUGACAAAUUUUGAAGUAAGUGAAGAUUUUCCUGGAGCUUCUACAAAAUCCUGGCUGAGAAUCCCUGCUUUCUGGACAGUUGAGAAGGAAAUACACUUAGUACAGCUGUUAGAGAGAUAUAGUUGCAACCACUGAGUGCUUAUUAUCUGCCAACUUAAAUAUAUUGCCCAAGGGAAUAACAAAUAUUCUAGUGUUCUUGUUAAGUAUAUUGUCUAAGGUCACACAGCUCUUAAACAACAGCUUCAGGAUUUGAACCUGGAAUCUAUCUGACUCCUAAGUCCAGAUGCUGUUCACCACAUUAGGUUGAAGCAUGGCCAGUGUUCAUAACAUACAACUAUGUCUCCAUAUCUUUUGCUAACCAAUGUUCUUGUAUGUGCAUACCUUACAGGGCAGCCAUUCACCACAAGCCCUACUAGAUGGCUUCCUGUAAUAAGGGUAGAACAGUAGUACUCUCCUUUUGAGAAGUUAUUUGUAAUUUUGUUGGUGGGCUGACAUUUAGGCCCUGCUCUCCAGCCCCAGAGGGGAUCCCAUAACCUAGAUCAGGCCAAUGAUGAUUAUCUCCGUGACUGUAGUGGCUGGUCCAGCGGGGAGGGUCAGGCAGGUAAGCUGGCCCAACCUGAGUCCUUCUUGAGGAUUUUAGAAACUGAAGGUAGGAGAGAAAAAUUCUCUCUUUUCUUCUGGGGAACGGGAUGAAGGUGGUGGGUAGGCAGAGCUGUUGGGAUGUGGAUCCAGGGAUUCUGGAAGUCCUGUCCUCCACCAUGUAAAGAAUACAUCCUGCAGAAGGAGAGAAGGGAGCCAGCACACAGAGAAGCAGAGUCAGGAGAUGGAGAAGGAGAAUCCUGAGAGCCUGAAGGUCCCUGGGUCCAGCCAUUGUCAAGGCCGAGUUCUACCGUCCUUAAGUUGUUUACCUUUCUUUCUUGCUUGCUUCUGUUAGAAGAUGAACACUCAAUGAAAAAUCACCAAACAUCUGAGGAAAGCCAUCAAAAUGAAAUAAACGAAACACACAAGUUCCUAAACACAAGUGAACAGCGUGGGCUGGGUUUUUGUCGCUUGGAACUGGAAACGCUGACGAUAAUGCUGACCUCUGAGCAGACCCACGUGAGGGGCAGCUGUGGUGUGGUGUGAUGAUGCUGGGAUAGGCACUCAGAUGGUUGAGUCUGAGUUUGGCUCUGAUAUUAUAUCAACUGCAUGGGCAGCUGUGGUGUGGUGUGAUGAUGCUGGGAUAGGCACUCAGAUGGUUGAGUCUGAGUUUGGCUCUGAUAUUAUAUCAACUGCAUGGGCAGCUGUGGUGUGGUGUGAUGAUGCUGGGAUAGGCACUCAGAUGGUUGAGUCUGAGUUUGGCUCUGAUAUUAUAUCAACUGCAUGGGCAGCUGUGGUGUGGUGUGAUGAUGCUGGGAUAGGCACUCAGAUGGUUGAGUCUGAGUUUGGCUCUGAUAUUAUAUCAACCGCAUCAUUUUGGGGAAGACACAAUUUCUCAGAAUUUUAUUUAGUUGUAAAAUAAAGAUAAUGAUAUUACAUGCUCUGUCUACCAUCUAGAGUUUUUGUCAAGACAAAC